GGACCGUGUACAAGUCUCCUGGAAUGGAGCGUCACAGAGGGUGAGAAUCCCGUCUUUGACACGGACUGCCUGCACGUUAUGGUGCGCUCUCAAAGAGUCGAGUUGUUUGGGAAUGCAGCUCAAAAUGGGUGGUAAAUGCCAUCUAAAGCUAAAUAUUGGCGAGAGACCGAUAGCGAACAAGUACCGUGAGGGAAAGAUGAAAAGAACUUUGGAAAGAGAGUUAAACAGUACGUGAAAUUGCUGAAAGGGAAACGCUUGAAGUCAGUCGCGUUGGCUAGAAAUCAACCUUGCUUUUGCUUGGUGUACUUUCUUGUUGACGGGUCAGCAUCAAUUUUGACCGUUGGAUAAAGUCGUUGGGAAUGUGGCAUCUUAGGAUGUGUUAUAGCCCAUUGUCGCAUACAGCGGUUGGGAUUGAGGAACUCAGCACGCCUUUUUGGACGGGUUUCGACCACGUUCGUGCUUAGGAUGCUGGCAUAAUGGCUUUAAUCGACCCGUCUUGAAACACGGACCAAGGAGUCUAACAUGCCUGCGAGUGUUUGGGUGGAAAACCCAUGCGCGCAAUGAAAGUGAAAGUUGAGAUCCCUCUUGGGGGAGCAUUGACGCCCGGACCAGACCUUCUGUGACGGAUCCGCGGUAGAGCAUGUAUGUUGGGACCCGAAAGAUGGUGAACUAUGCCUGAAUAGGGUGAAGCCAGAGGAAACUCUGGUGGAGGCUCGUAGCGAUUCUGACGUGCAAAUCGAUCGUCAAAUUUGGGUAUAGGGGCGAAAGACUAAUCGAACCAUCUAGUASCUGGUUCCUGCCGAAGUUUCCCUCAGAUAGCAAAACUCAUUAUCAAAUUUAUGUGGUAAAGCGAAUGAUUAGAGGCCUUGGGGUUGAAACAACCUUAACCUAWUCUCAAACUUUAAAUAUGUAAAAACSAGCCGUCUCUUGACUGGACCGCUCGAC
rnacentral:rRNA from 1 species